AGGACGAACGCUGGCGGCGUGCCUCAUACAUGCAAGUGGAGCGACGAACCAGGCUUCGGCCUGGGGCAAAGCCGCGAACGGGUGAGUAACACGUGGGUUACCUGCCCCGAUGAUUGGGACAACCCGAGGAAACUCGGGCUAAUACCAAAUGUGCUCCUGGCCGUGAUGGCCAGGUGGAAAGGAAGCUUCGGCCUCCGCAUCGGGAUGGGCCCGCGGCCCAUUAGCUAGUUGGUGGGGUAAUGGCCUACCAAGGCGACGAUGGGUAGCUGGUCUGAGAGGACGAUCAGCCACACUGGGAUUGAGAACGGCCCAGACUCCUACGGGGGGCAGCAGUGAGGAAUUUUCGUCAAUGGGGGAAACCCUGAACGAGCAACGCCGCGUGCAGGAAGACACUUUUCGGAGCGUAAACUGCUUUUCUCGGGGACGAGUAAGGACGGUACCCGAGGAAUCAGCCCCGGCUAACUACGUGCCAGCAGCCGC
rnacentral:rRNA from 1 species